GGGAUUGCCUCAGUAACGGCGAGUGAAGCGGCAACAGCUCAAAUUUGAAAUCUGGCCUCUUUGGGGUCCGAGUUGUAAUUUGUAGAGGAUGUUUCGGGUACCGCCUCGGUUUAAAUUUCUUGGAACAGAAUGUCAAAGAGGGUGAGAAUCCCGUCUUGGACCGGCGGUAGGGCCCAUGUGAAACUCCUUCGACGAGUCGAGUUGUUUGGGAAUGCAGCUCAAAAUGGGUGGUAAAUUUCAUCUAAAGCUAAAUAUUGGCCAGAGACCGAUAGCGCACAAGUAGAGUGAUCGAAAGAUGAAAAGCACUUUGAAAAGAGAGUUAAACAGUAUGUGAAAUUGUUGAAAGGGAAGCGCUUACAACCAGACUUGCGCGCGGCGGUUCCCCCUUCCUUUUGGUUGGGCUACUCCGUCGUGUCCAGGCCAACAUCGGUUCUGGGGGUCGGUUAAAGACCCUGGGAAUGUAUCUACCCUUCGGGCGUAGACUUAUAGCUCAGGGUGUCAUGCGACCUCCCGGGACCGAGGAACGCGCUUCGGCUCGGA
rnacentral:rRNA from 1 species